ACUCAAAUGAAUUGACGGGGGCCCGCACAAGCGGUGGAGCAUGUGGUUCAAUUCGACGCAACGCGAAGAACCUUACCUGGGCUCGAAAUGUAGGGGAAUGAGGUGGAAACAUCUCCGUCCCGCAAGGGACCCCUAUAUAGGUGCUGCAUGGCUGUCGUCAGCUCGUGUCGUGAGAUGUUGGGUUAAGUCCCGCAACGAGCGCAACCCUUAUCUUUAGUUGCCAUCAGGUCAAGCUGGGCACUCUAACGAAACCGCCUCGGAUAACGGGGAGGAAGGUGGGGAUGACGUCAAGUCCUCAUGGCCUUUAUGUCCAGGGCUACACACGUGCUACAAUGGUCGGUACAAACCGUCGCAAACCCGCGAGGGGGAGCUAAUCGGAAAAAGCCGGCCUCAGUUCGGAUUGGAGUCUGCAACCCGACUCCAUGAAGCUGGAAUCGCUAGUAAUCGCGGAUCAGAACGCCGCGGUGAAUACGUUCCCGGGCCUUGUACACACCGCCCGU
rnacentral:rRNA from 1 species